rnacentral:rRNA from 1 species
UAGGGAAUAUUGGACAAUGGGCGAGAGCCUGAUCCAGCCAUGCCGCGUGCAGGAAGAAGGCCUUCUGGGUUGUAAACUGCUUUUGCCGGGGGAUAAAAUACCCAUGCGUGGGGAAUUGAAGGUACCCGGUGAAUAAGCCACGGCUAACUACGUGCCAGCAGCCGCGGUAAUACGUAGGUGGCGAGCGUUGUCCGGAUUUAUUGGGUUUAAAGGGUGCGUAGGCGGCCCCGUUAGUCAGCGGUGAAAUACGGCAGCUUAACUGUCGAGGUGCCGUUGAUACUGCGGGGCUUGAGUGCGGUCGAGGAGGGCGGAAUUGACGGUGUAGCGGUGAAAUGCUUAGAUAUCGUCAAGAACACCGAUAGCGAAGGCAGCCCUCCAGGCCGCAACUGACGCUGAGGCACGAAAGUGCGGGGAUCAAACAGG